UUGGGCCAGGGGAAUUCAAACU
rnacentral:miRNA from 1 species